rnacentral:rRNA from 1 species
UGGGCUUAAAUGUAGAGUGCUAUUUUUAGAGAUAGAAAUUCCCUUCGGGGCUUUCUGCAAGGUGCUGCAUGGUUGUCGUCAGCUCGUGCCGUGAGGUGUCGGGUUAAGUCCCAUAACGAGCGCAACCCUUAUCGUUAGUUGCCAGCUGGUAAAGCAGGGGACUCUAGCGAAACUGCCACCGUAAGGUGAGAGGAAGGUGGGGAUGACGUCAAAUCAGCACGGCCCUUAUGUCCAGGGCUACACACGUGUUACAAUGGCCGGCACAGAGGGCAGCUACCUGGUGACAGGAUGCUAAUCUCGAAAACCGGUCUCAGUUCGGAUCGAAGUCUGCAACUCGACUUCGUGAAGCUGGAUUCGCUAGUAAUCGCGCAUCAGCCAUGGCGCGGUGAAUACGUUCCCGGGCCUU